rnacentral:rRNA from 1 species
AGAGUUUGAUCCUGGCUCAGGAUGAACGCUGGCGGCGUGCCUAAUACAUGCAAGUCGAACGCUUUGUGCUGAAUUGAUAUGACGAGCUUGCUCUGAUUUGAUUUUUUGAUUUCAAAGAGUGGCGAACGGGUGAGUAACACGUGGGUAACCUACCUCUUAGCAGGGGAUAACAUUUGGAAACAAGUGCUAAUACCGUAUAAUACCAACAACCGCAUGGUUGUUGGUUGAAAGAUGGUUCUGCUAUCACUAAGAGAUGGACCCGCGGUGCAUUAGCUAGUUGGUAAGGUAAUGGCUUACCAAGGCAAUGAUGCAUAGCCGAGUUGAGAGACUGAUCGGCCACAAUGGGACUGAGACACGGCCCAUACUCCUACGGGAGGCAGCAGUAGGGAAUCUUCCACAAUGGGCGCAAGCCUGAUGGAGCAACGCCGCGUGUGUGAUGAAGGGUUUCGGCUCGUAAAACACUGUUAUAAGAGAAGAACGGCACUGAGAGUAACUGUUCAGUGUGUGACGGUAUCUUACCAGAAAGGAACGGCUAAAUACGUGCCAGCAGCCGCGGUAAUACGUAUGUUCCAAGCGUUAUCCGGAUUUAUUGGGCGUAAAGCGAGCGCAGACGGUUAUUUAAGUCUGAAGUGAAAGCCCUCAGCUCAACUGAGGAAUUGCUUUGGAAACUGGAUGACUUGAGUGCAGUAGAGGAAAGUGGAACUCCAUGUGUAGCGGUGAAAUGCGUAGAUAUAUGGAAGAACACCAGUGGCGAAGGCGGCUUUCUGGACUGUAACUGACGUUGAGGCUCGAAAGUGUGGGUAGCAAACAGGAUUAGAUACCCUGGUAGUCCACACCGUAAACGAUGAGUGCUAGAUGUUCGAGGGUUUCCGCCCUUGAGUGUCGCAGCU